rnacentral:rRNA from 1 species
GACGAACCGUGCGAACGUUGUUCGGAAUCACUGGGCUUAAAGGGCGCGUAGGCGGCCGGGUUGGUCGUGAGUGAAAUCCCCCAGCUUAACUGGGGAACUGCCUACGAUACUGCCUGGCUCGAGGGAGGAAGGGGCGGUCGGAACUGUCGGUGGAGCGGUGAAAUGCGUUGAUAUCGACAGGAACGCCGGUGGCGAAAGCGGACCGCUGGCCCUCUUCUGACGCUGAUGAGCGAAAGCUAGGGGAGCAAACGGG